AGCGAACGCUGGCGGCAGGCCUAACACAUGCAAGUCGAACGAAGUCUUCGGACUUAGUGGCGGACGGGUGAGUAACACGUGGGAACGUGCCCUUUGGUACGGAAUAACUCAGGGAAACUUGAGCUAAUACCGUAUGUGCCCUUCGGGGGGAAAGAUUUAUCGCCAUUGGAGCGGCCCGCGUCUGAUUAGCUAGUUGGUGAGGUAAAGGCUCACCAAGGCGACGAUCAGUAGCUGGUCUGAGAGGAUGAUCAGCCACAUUGGGACUGAGACACGGCCCAAACUCCUACGGGAGGCAGCAGUGGGGAAUCUUGCGCAAUGGGCGAAAGCCUGACGCAGCCAUGCCGCGUGAAUGAUGAAGGUCUUAGGAUUGUAAAAUUCUUUCACCGGGGACGAUAAUGACGGUACCCGGAGAAGAAGCCCCGGCUAACUUCGUGCCAGCCGCCGCAGUAAAAC
rnacentral:rRNA from 1 species